rnacentral:lncRNA from 1 species
GUAAGCUGCAACUCCUCCUGGAAGCGAAAGCUCCGGCGGGAUUUCCUCUCCACGGAGGCCUCCUCUGACUCAGGGAAGAACUUCCACUGGAUUCUUACUGACCACGCCGAUGCCCAGUGCUGGGAGGAACAAGAAAAUUUAGCCAGGACCAUUAUCUGCCCACAUUGCUCCUUCGGCAGUGGAAGAUGAACAAACUGAGAUCAAGGCGGAAAAAAACUUAACCACUGGUCGCAGUCCUACCCACAGCCCUCCAGGAUUAGCACCAAGACUUGACUUCACUAUUUCAGGGCCAGGAGAAGAAAGAGCACAUUACAGCUGGUGACAGAGCUGAGGAUUCAGCAAAUCCUGGAAGCCUUUGCCUGUUCUUCCUUCUUUCCACUGGGAGUCACAUGUGUAAGCAGCAACACAAGGAAGAAGAAAGACAGUGGACCCAAACAAAUCAGGAAUCAAGAUCCCAAGCUGGAAGGAAUACACUCAGAUGGCAACAGUGGUGGCCUGGAGGAGCAGGAACACUGCUAUCAUUCCAUACCUCAACCUCCUAUCUCCUGGAGCUCUUCGGAAGUGGCUGCUGUGGAUGGCCCAGAUGUAGCCCUGUGGCUGGAGCCCGGUCUUGGCACAAUUUCCUGGACCACAAAUGGCUUUCCUGAGAGCAAGUUCUUCAGCUUGCACUCAGGGAUGAGUAGCUGGAGACAUUUCCCCCUGAUCAUAAGGUUCCUGAAUGGUAUUUAUACUUUAUACCACAAAAUUUUGUUAA